CUUGUAAAGAAUAUAAGCCACUAUAGUAAACUGCAUGGAAAUUCCUUAGUGAUGUGGAAAAAGCCUGUCACUAUGUCAAGACCUCAAAAGUCACUGCUGAAAACAUGCAUAUCAUGAAUUUAUAGGCAGAAGAAUUGGCCACAUUUUAUGCCUUAGUCCUCAGGUAGUGGAGCAUGGCUACAUGGUAAUGAGAGUAGGUGGGUAAAAAGAAGAUGCUGGCAUCAUUUUGUAAAUUAGAGGAAUUCCGAGUGCUUACCUUUAGAAACCAAGGUAUUAGACGCAAAAGAGAAGAUGAUAAAGUUCAGCAUGUUGAUAAAAAAUGCUUAUGUUCUAGCAAGGUCAAGUUAGAGAUGGGGAAUGCAAUUAGAUAUCAAACAAAAACAAAACAAAAUACAAUUUUUAUUCUCCUUGUUGCUAUGGCAGUGCAUGGCAUUGUAUUAGAACUUGUAUUAUGAAUCUUACCUAUAUUACAUAUCUAUAUCACCUUCAUAUAAAUCAUUUAAAUUUUUCCAGAUUACAUGUGAAUACAAUUUAUAACAAUCAUUCCUUGACAUUUUGUGAUCCAUGUUCUUUCCUCCCUCCUCCUUUUCAACCCUUCACAACAAAACAGUUAAUAUGUUGUAGACUAUAUAUGUGUUUUCAUAUAAUACACAUUUCCAGGUUUCAUGUUGUGAAAGAAGAAACAUAUGGCUUACGCUAGAGAAAAUACAUGGAGGAAAUAAAAUGAAGAAUGCCAUGCUUCAAUCUGCAUUCAGACUCUGUCAGUUUCUGCCAUGGCAGUGGAGAGCCUUCUUUCAUCAUGAGUCCCGUACAGUUGUCCCAGAUUGUUGCAUUUAUGAUAAUACAUUUGAAAAGAAAAGACCAGACCUGAACAGAAAAUUUGAUGCCCAAGCACAGAACUCAAGAGAAUCAUCAAAAGAUACCACAACUUCUUCAGCCCUUCACCAAUUGAUGGACAUCUCUGCAGUUUCCAGUUCUUUACCAACACAAAAUGAUCUGCUAUAAAUAUUUUUGAAUAGGGAUCCAUGGGACUUCUAGUGUCCUCCCACAGUAUGCAUGCAUGAUCAGUCAAAGAAUGGGACUGAGACCUGGGACCCAAAUGGAUUUUUCAAACCUUUGCUUUUAGAAAGGAAAGAGGGGAACAGGCUUAUGCCAAUUUCAUACAUUCCUUUUAUUGAAACCAUUCUGCUUUCAUAUUAAAUGCCUUGUAUUAUACUGC
rnacentral:lncRNA from 1 species